AAGUCGUAACAAGGUUUCCGUAGGUGAACCUGCGGAAGGAUCAUUAAUGGAGUUUUCAGAUUGUGGGGGAUUUUCGGGUUCCCUAACAUAACCACGAUGUGCAAGAGACUAUGGUUUUGCGAGUAGGGUUGAGCCCUAAAACUGUAAAACCGAAGCAACAGGAGUUUUUUAGGUUUUACACCUCACUACUUCAUCUAUUCGUCAACAUGUAACUGGUAACAACUAUUAACGAUGGAUCCCUUGGCUCUU
rnacentral:misc_RNA from 1 species